UUAACCUCAGAUCAGGGAAGAUUACCCGCUGAA
rnacentral:rRNA from 1 species